GUGUCAGCCGCCGCGGUAAGACGAACCGUGCGAACGUUGUUCGGAAUCACUGGGCUUAAAGGGCGCGUAGGCGGGUCGAAAAGUCCGCGGUGAAAUCCCCCCGCUCAACGGGGGAACGGCCGCGGAUACUGUCGGCCUCGAGGGGGGUAGGGGCACCUGGAACGCUGGGUGGAGCGGUGAAAUGCGUUGAUAUCCAGCGGAACUCCGGUGGCGAAGGCGAGGUGCUGGACCCCUUCUGACGCUGAGGCGCGAAAGCCAGGGGAGCGAACGGGAUUAGAUACCCUGGUAGUCC
rnacentral:rRNA from 1 species